rnacentral:rRNA from 1 species
GUCUACGGCCAUACCAGGCUGAACUCACCCAAUCUCGCCUGAUCUCAAAAGCUAAGUAUGGUCAGGCCUGGUUAGUACUUGGAUGGGAGAAUUUAUCAAAUGACUAGAGAAAGUUGCUA